UGGGGUGUCGCCAAGUGGUAAGGCACCAGAUUCUGGCUCUGGCAUUCCGAGGGUUCAAAUCCUUCCACCCCAG
rnacentral:tRNA from 1 species